UACGGGGGGGGCAAGCGUUGUUCGGAAUCACUGGGCGUAAAGCGCACGUAGGCGGAUUUGUCAGUCAGGGGUGAAAUCCCGGGGCUCAACCUCGGAACUGCCUUUGAUACAGCAAGUCUUGAGUUCGAGAGAGGUGGGUGGAAUUCCUAGUGUAGAGGUGAAAUUCGUAGAUAUUAGGAAGAACACCAGUGGCGAAGGCGACUUCCUGGCCUGUUCUUGACGCUGAGGCGCGAAAGCUAGGGUAGCAAACGGGG
rnacentral:rRNA from 1 species